CUCUAUUCUUCUUUCUUAUUAUAUUGUUUUAUAAUAUAUUUUUUAUAUUUAGGAAUAGAAUCUUCAAUUAAUUGAGCAUGAUCUAGAGCCCAUUUGAAUGGUCAAACCAGCUUUGGAUCAAUUUUCGAGAAAUUAUAGUUCAGCAUAAUAUUAGAGGUGAUUUGGGACAAAGGGGGAGAAGAGAAAGCACAAAAUGGCGAGCGGGGGGAGAGCAGUAGAAGCACUUAAAGCCUACAGAUCAGUGCUGAAAGCUACUCACAAAGCCUUCGCCGGAGAUACUUUCAUGCUCCAAAAAUCUGCCGCCGAAGUCAGAAAGAAAUUCGAGGAGAAUCGCCACGUCACCUCUGAAGCUGACAUUCAAAGGCUAUUGGACGAUGCAAAUGAUGCCUCUGAGUUCAUCUCCACCAUGAUCGUCCAAGCCAAAGCUACACCCUCCGGUGCUUUCGUGGUGAAGCCUGAGAAAGAACAUGCUGGGGCAACGCUCGAGAUUCCUUCUGAAGAGAUACUUAAGAAGUCUGCUUGAGCAUGUUAUGAGGAAGCUUAGAGCACAUGGACUGCUGUGUUGGCAUCUUGUCUCUUCAGAAACUGGACAUUACUGCCAUUCUCCUUGUAAGAUGAUCAUUGACGAGAUCUCAAGGUUUUUAGUUCAAUGUCAUAGGUAGUAGAAAAUAUGACUGUAGUAAGUGUAGUUUCACAAGUUUGAACCCGGUUGUUGAACCAAGUUUGGCAUUUAAGCAGAGAGGGUAGAGAGACCACCCAUUAUGCUUGAGUUUUGAAGAUAAAACAGUGUAUUUCUCAGUCACGAAGAAAAAAGGAAUCAUGUUGAGUACAAAUUGCUUGAUUCUAUCCAUCCAACAACUCCAUUUAGCCUGCUCAGACCUUUCUUCCUUGCGUUAGAUUAUACUACAUUGUCAAGAACCGUAAGUGCAGUGGAAUUGCUAGAACUUUUUCUGCAUCUA